rnacentral:rRNA from 1 species
ACAAGUCUGUUGGAAUACAGCGUCAUAGUGGUGAGAACCCCGUAACUGAUGCGGAUGCCCGGUGCUUUGUGAUACACUUUCGAAGAGUCGAGUUGUUUGGGAAUGCAGCUCAAAUUGGGUGGUAAAUUCCAUCUAAAGCUAAAUAUUGGCGAGAGACCGAUAGCGAACAAGUACCGUGAGGGAAAGAUGAAAAGCACUUUGGAAAGAGAGUUAACAGUACGUGAAAUUGUUGGAAGGGAAACGCUUGAAGUCAGACUUGCUAUUUGGAAUUCAGCCGCAAGGUGUACUUUUCAAUUCGCAGGCCAGCAUCAGUUUUCGGGGGUGGAAAAGGGUAGAGAGAAGGUAGCAAUUUCGGUUGUGUUAUAGCUCUUUGCUGGAUUCAUCCUUGGGGACUGAGGAACGC